ACACAUGCAGUCGAACGAUGAAGCCCAGCUUGCUGGGUGGAUUAGUGGCGAACGGGUGAGUAACACGUGAGUAACCUGCCCUUGACUCUGGGAUAAGCCUGGGAAACUGGGUCUAAUACCGGAUAGGAACGUCCACCGCAUGGUGGGUGUUGGAAAGAUUUAUCGGUCAUGGAUGGACUCGCGGCCUAUCAGCUUGUUGGUGAGGUAAUGGCUCACCAAGGCGACGACGGGUAGCCGGCCUGAGAGGGUGACCGGCCACACUGGGACUGAGACACGGCCCAGACUCCUACGGGAGGCAGCAGUGGGGAAUAUUGCACAAUGGGCGAAAGCCUGAUGCAGCGACGCCGCGUGAGGGAUGACGGCCUUCGGGUUGUAAACCUCUUUCAGUAGGGAAGAAGCGAAAGUGACGGUACCUGCAGAAGAAGCACCGGCUAACUACGUGCCAGCAGCCGCGGUAAUACGUAGGGUGCGAGCGUUAUCCGGAAUUAUUGGGCGUAAAGAGCUCGUAGGCGGUUUGUCGCGUCUGUCGUGAAAGUCCGGGGCUUAACCCCGGAUCUGCGGUGGGUACGGGCAGACUAGAGUGCAGUAGGGGAGACUGGAAUUCCUGGUGUAGCGGUGGAAUGCGCAGAUAUCAGGAGGAACACCGAUGGCGAAGGCAGGUCUCUGGGCUGUAACUGACGCUGAGGAGCGAAAGCAUGGGGAGCGAACAGGAUUAGAUACCCUGGUAGUCCAUGCCGUAAACGUUGGGCACUAGGUGUGGGGACCAUUCCACGGUUUCCGCGCCGCAGCUAACGCAUUAAGUGCCCCGCCUGGGGAGUACGGCCGCAAGGCUAAAACUCAAAGGAAUUGACGGGGGCCCGCACAAGCGGCGGAGCAUGCGGAUUAAUUCGAUGCAACGCGAAGAACCUUACCAAGGCUUGACAUGUUCUCGAUCGCCGUAGAGAUACGGUUUCCCCUUUGGGGCGGGAUCACAGGUGGUGCAUGGUUGUCGUCAGCUCGUGUCGUGAGAUGUUGGGUUAAGUCCCGCAACGAGCGCAACCCUCGUUCCAUGUUGCCAGCACGUGAUGGUGGGGACUCAUGGGAGACUGCCGGGGUCAACUCGGAGGAAGGUGGGGACGACGUCAAAUCAUCAUGCCCCUUAUGUCUUGGGCUUCACGCAUGCUACAAUGGCCGGUACAAUGGGUUGCGAUACUGUGAGGUGGAGCUAAUCCCAAAAAGCCGGUCUCAGUUCGGAUUGGGGUCUGCAACUCGACCCCAUGAAGUCGGAGUCGCUAGUAAUCGCAGAUCAGCAACGCUGCGGUGAAUACGUUCCCGGGCCUUGUACACACCGCCCGUCAAGUCACGAAAGUCGGUAACACCCGAAGCCGGUGGCCUAACCCUUGUGGGGGAGCCGUCGAA
rnacentral:rRNA from 1 species